rnacentral:rRNA from 1 species
ACUCAAAGGAAUUGACGGGGGCCCGCACAAGCAGCGGAGCGUGUGGUUUAAUUCGAGGCUACACGAAGAACCUUACCUAGCUUUGACAUGGCGCUGAACGAGGGUGAAAGCCUGAGGUUCGCAAGACAGCGUCACAGGUGCUGCAUGGCUGUCGUCAGCUCGUGCCGUGAGGUGUUAGGUUAAGUCCUGUAACGAGCGCAACCCCCGGGUCCAGUUACACGUGUCUGGACCGACUGCCCGUGACAAGCGGGAGGAAGGUGGGGAUGACGUCAAGUCAGCAUGGCCUUUAUAGCUAGGGCUACACACACGCUACAAUGGUCGGUACAAUGGGUCGCCAAGCCGCAAGGCGGAGCCAAUCCACCAAAGCCGAUCUCAGUUCGGAUUGUGGGCUGCAACCCGCCCACAUGAAGUCGGAGUUGCUAGUAACCGCCGGUCAGCCAUACGGCGGUGAAUACGUUCCCGGGCCUUGUACACACCGCCCGU